UUGUGUUGUAUGUAUGUUGCUCUGUGCUUAUGCCUAUAUUCGCAGUUGCUCCCUGUGAUUUUACCCCAGUGGAUUUUGCCUCUUGUGUUUAUUUUUGCCCUUGGGAAUUUUUCAGUCGGGGAUUUAAAGUAAGUUAUUGUUGCCUUUCAUUUAGCUCAUUUUUAAUAAAUGUUUCUUUUGUCUGCAUUUGGGUCCUUUCCCUUUUGUUUCAUCCUGGACGUUGACAAAAGUCUUGUAAUCCUGUCCCAGAUGACUUUUGUUUUCUGUGAAACCACAACCAAUUAAUUAUAAAUCAAAUAUUCAGUAAAGGUCUGAUGACUUGUAAAUUGUCUCAGGAUGUCAGCACACAUGUCACAAAAUCCAUAAAUCAAGUCUGUGAUCUUCUUCCUACCAUCUCUUCUCCUUGUCUUUCUGUUUUCAGAGGUAGCAGACAUGUCUUGUGAUUUUACAGACAUUUAAUCUGUGGUUGACGAAUCAGUCACAAAACUAUGUAGUUUCAUUAAUCAGCUGAAGGUGACGUGUCCCUCAGAAGGUCACUUCCCUCGGAGCCUCCUGUCAGCUCCUGCUGAUGAAGAAGUGGGCUGACUUCCUGCUUUUAAUCCUUCUUCUUUGAACGUCUAAUGACAAGCCGGCGUGUCCAACAUCUUUACCAGUCGAUCGAAACUCCUCUUCAGGUGACCUUCCAACGACACUAAUGAUAAUGAGACCAUCAACCAGCGGAGUCAUGCUCAAUUCCUGUACACGCCACUCCUCUGAUCCCCGAGGAGGACGCUCUACGUGUUACCAGUGGGAGUUAGAGGUCACGGUCGCUCACACAGUGGUGUUUCCAGGAGCUACAGGAGGAUCCAGAGUCUUCCUCAAGGACUCAUCAGGAGGGCAGAGACAGGAGCUGAUUGCCACCGUGGCUCCGGAGUGUUUCAUGACUUUCAUGUGAUUUUCUUUAACUCCAUCUGAGACAUGUUCAUGUUCUGGUCACAUUUUCCUUUUUGUUUUUUUCUGAUGAGUAUAAUCUGCCAUGAUGUUUGGAGUGCAGACACAAUACUGCUUAACUAAAAAUGAUUUAAAAUUCCCCUUAAAAUAGAAGAUGGAG